CUCGUUCGUGUUGGAUUCUGACUGGGCCGCGUCUGCCCCUGCCGCCUUCUGACCCGGAAGGGCGGGGAAUCUCUUCCGGGCAGGGAGCGGAGCUCCCCGGAAGUGGCUGCUGCGCGUGGCGCCCGCGGCCGAGGUUUCCCCGCUGUCCGGACUCAGGGCGGGAGGCUGGGCCGGGCCCGGCCCGCCCCGCCGACUCCCCGCCUGGGGCGCGCGAGGGCCCCAGUCCGGCCAGAGGUGCCGGGCGGGUCCCAGGUUCGCCGCCGGGGCCUGGGGGCAGCCCGAGCCUGGUGUCCCCGGGAAGGGCCGCGCCCGUGGCGGCUGCAGGUUUUCUUUGGGGCCUGGUGUUUCCCUGGCCCUGCCCCGGACCCGGCUCUGCCGCAGCCCGUUCCGGACCCCGCGGACUUCCCUUCCCCGGCGGCCGCCGCCCCUCGCUGCUCCCCCCCCCCCGGCCCAGAGCCUGCUCUUGGCCUUGUCCCCGGCCGGCCGGAUCGUCCAGCAGGCCUGCGCCUCGGCCCCGUCCCCAGCUUCUGCAGCCCUCAGCGUUGCUGUUUCCUUUUUCGACCCUGUUACAGUCUUGGCCUUCACGGCACCAUCGGGGGGAGGGAGAGCGCAGUGGUUUGAGCAGUGGCCGGCUAAACCCGGGGUUGUGAGCUCAGUCCCUGAGGGGGCCAUCUGGGGAUCUGGGGCAAAAAUUGGGGAUUGGUCCUGCUUCAACCAGGGGUUUGGACUAAAUGACCUCCUGAGGUCCCUUCCAACCCUGACCUUCUGUGAUGCUGAAAAUGCCCCAUAGUGUCAUGUCCCGAAUGAGGGCAGGAAUAAAAAGCAACACACGUAUCCGUGGUGAAAGAAGAUCCCCGAGUGUUCACCCAGCCCCAUAGAUAGAUACCAUGGGGCCUGCUGCCCUGUUCCAGAAUGGACUUAGUUAUGUUUGAAAUGGCUAAUGAGAUAUUUAGAUGAGCUUUCCAGCCUAGUGCUCUGCUAAUAUCAGCUAAAUUCCUAGUCAUAUGAACUCUGCAGAACACUGCUAGCUCAAAUUCUAGCCUGUGAGAGCUUCUUCAGAGCAAUGUCCUAUCAGGGAUAUAGGAACUGCCCCAAUGUAUUGUACCUAUGGUUCAUCUAGUCCAGUACCCUGUUCCCUGCUGUGGCCAGUGCCAGAGCCUUCAGAGCAAGGUGCAAGAAAUCCUAGAAUAGGAAGAUGUGAGAUAAUCCGCCCUCCUCCCCAUGAAAUUCUCAUUCAGAUCUCUAAUAAUUAGAGAUCAUUUAAACCCUGAAAGAUUAAGUUUUAUAGUCCUCCAAAUAUUGUUUAGCAUUAGUUAUUACUUUGCAGAGUUGUUUUAUCCACAUAAGCAUCUGAUCCCUCUUGGAAUCUUGUUAAAUUCUAAGCCCCAACAACAUCCAGUGGCAGAGAGUUCUAAUUAUCCAAUGCAUGAAGAAGUAUUUCCUUUCCCCAGUUUUGAAUUUGCCAUUUUUCAGUUUUGUGGGCUGUCCUUUGUUCUUGUGUUAUGAGACGGAAAACAAGCUCCCAAUCUCCCUUUCCCAGAGCAUUCAUUAUUUCAUACACGUUUUCAUGUCCUUUCUUAUUCAUCUCCUUUCCUACGGUAAAUGAGCCGAGUCUUUCUGGUCUCUUUUCAUAUGAGUUUUUUCCAUGCUCUAGUCAUUAUCUAUUCUAUAGAGGAUCUUAUAUCAUGUUCAUCACUGCAGUAUCUGAGCGCCUUCAAGUAGUGGAUUAAACAAUGUGACUACGCAUCUGUCAUGUGGUGUUGGUUCUCUCAGCCCCUCCCUAGGGAGAGAAGAGCUCAGGAAAUCUUUGAGAUAUCCUGAAUACCCCUGAAUACCUUGGAGAUCAGGACCAAGACCUUGAAUUUGAUUUGAAAUUCUCUGGGAAGCCAGUGUAGAAAGCAGAGGACAGGUCUGGUGUGUUUGCAGUAGUCUGUGGUACUGAGGAAAUACGCAGUAGUUUCUGUACAGGUUGGAAUUUCCUAAAUGCUGAAGGCUUCAUGUUCUGGUAUAUCACAUCACUGUAAUUCAGCCAAGAGGUCACAAAGACGUGAAUAACUGAAGCCAGGUCAUUGUCCGCUAGGAUGGGACAGAGCCUCCUUGCCAACCCAAGAUGGCAGAAGGCAUUACUCGUGGCUGUUACUGUGAGAUCUCAGCAUCAGCAAGGAAUCCAAGAAUACUCCUAAGCUAUGGAUCUAAUGGAGUAACUGUGGAUGUAUACCUUCAACCAAAGGGAAUUGCGCCACUUUUCUCUGAACCAGCCCCCCAAAUUCUGUAAUAGCCUUUUUGAGAUGGGAUGGCCAGUGCUGCACACAUUCCAGAUGAGAACAUAGCACUGAUUUACAUAAUGACACUAUAAUAUUUUCCAUAUUAAUCUCUAUUCCAUUCCUUCUGCAGCCUAACACCUUUGCUAUUUUGAUUGCAGCUGCACAUUGAACAGAGGCCUUAACUUAGCCUACAGUGCUGCCCAGGUCCCUUUUGAAAACUGAUGCUCUGAGUUUACACCCCUGCAAUGUGUUGGAGUAGUGCAUGUUUUUCCCUCCAGUGUGCAUUACUUUGCAUUUACCAUAAUUGAACAGAACGUUGCUCAUCUACCUGGGUUGAAAUUUUUCCUACCUCACGGCUCACCCCCAUUCCAGAUCAUACAUAAAUACAGUCAACAACACUGGACCUAGUAAAGAUUCUUGAGAUCCUGCUAUUAACUUUUUGCUAAGAUUAAAAUUGACCAUUUAAUGCU